rnacentral:snRNA from 1 species
GUGCUCGCUUCAGCAGCACAUAUACUAAAAAUGGAACGAUACACAGACGAUUAGCAUAGCCCCUGCACAAGGAUGACAUGGGGAAAAAAAAAGAAGAAAAAUCUUAA